rnacentral:rRNA from 1 species
ACCGCAAGGUUGAAACUCAAAGGAAUUGACGGGGGCCCGCACAAGCGGUGGAGCAUGUGGUUUAAUUCGAAGCAACGCGAAGAACCUUACCAGGUCUUGACAUACUCGUGCUAUCCUUAGAGAUAAGGAGUUCCUUCGGGACACGGGAUACAGGUGGUGCAUGGUUGUCGUCAGCUCGUGUCGUGAGAUGUUGGGUUAAGUCCCGCAACGAGCGCAACCCUUAUUACUAGUUGCCAUCAUUAAGUUGGGCACUCUAGUGAGACUGCCGGUGAUAAACCGGAGGAAGGUGGGGAUGACGUCAAAUCAUCAUGCCCCUUAUGACCUGGGCUACACACGUGCUACAAUGGAUGGUACAACGAGUCGCCAACCCGCGAGGGUGCGCUAAUCUCUUAAAACCAUUCUCAGUUCGGAUUGCAGGCUGCAACUCGCCUGCAUGAAGUCGGAAUCGCUAGUAAUCGCGGAUCAGCACGCCGCGGUGAAUACGUUCCCGGGCCUUUGUACACACCGCCCGUCACACCACGGAAGUUGGGAGUACCCAAAGUAGUUGCCUAACCGCAAGGAGGGCGCUUCCUAAGUAAGACCGAUGACUGGGGUGAAGUC